UUUUAUAAUUCGUAACAGUAAGCUUGGCGAGCAGAGGGAAAGAAGGCUCCUAACACACUCUUUUGGCCUAAUGCAUGCCAGAGGGUAACAGGUUAUAAGAAAGUCUGUAGUUAGCUACAGUUGAACAACUCUAGGAAAAAGACCUGCUUUGGUUCCUAAAUACACAUUUUCCCCUUAAGAUUCUUACUGGAUGAUCCAUUCCACCUUAAUUUAUUACCACAAACACAAAAGGGAAGUGUCUUUACACAAAUUAAUGCGCCUACAAAAUAAAACCCAAGAGAGAAGCUGGAGUUAGUUUGGCAGAGCUACCGGGUUACACAAUGUCUGGGGAGGACCUUUAUACAUAUCCAUAUGUAUACAUACUGUAGCCUCUUAAUUGUGCUUAAGGAAAUGGCACUGACAUACAUUGUGGGUGUCAACGUUGCCCGCAAGAGUUGUACAUCACACAUGGACACUGCAAAUAUAAGUUUUGUAUAUUGAAUUAAUUAAGGAAGGCUAAUUGCCAAAACAGAUCAUCAACACCAAAAUAUAUCAUGGCUCAAGGACAUUUCUUGCUAAAAUAAACAAGCACUACAGUAAUUACUUUUCAAGGUCUUUCCAUACCGUCGCUUUCAGAAUCAAAGUUCCAAGGUCACCCUAAGGGUCUUUUCUCUUUCAGCCUGUAGGAAAGUGAGU
rnacentral:lncRNA from 1 species